rnacentral:lncRNA from 1 species
AUUGACAACACUAUAGGUUUGAAAAGGAAAGUUUUAUUAGAUAGAAAGAACACUGCAGAAGACCGCAGCAGAGGACUUCAGCAAGAGAGAACUAAGUGUAUCAUGGUGGAUUUUUCCUAAGGGUUUGUCAGUUUCAAAUACUCAUGUAUCUGAUUGUCAAUGCUGGAGAGCUGGGGCCAGGGCAGUAGUUGAUGGAUAUCACCUGACUGUCUCCUGCAGCAAAAGCAUUCCCAGAAGCACGGAGAAGUGAGGAGAAAAGGCAAUGCACCUGGAGCUGGAGACCAAGACCCCGUUCUUACUGAUGGCCCUUGGAGCAGAUAUUUGAAUUGGAGAGAUAAAACCGUGGUUUUUGGGGUGUUAAUUUUGGUGGCUGAUGCAUUCUGUGAUUGAUUUGGCUAUUACAACUGGUAUUGAUUUUAAACACAUUAAUUGCAAAAUCUCAAUUGUGAUUUGAUUUCUGUAUUUACAAUACUAAAAACGAGGCUUUCGCCAGGAGAAGACAAUUGGCAGUACUCAGUUGGAAGUGCUUAAUUGUUAAUAUAUAUCAGCCGUGGUUCUUCAGCGUCGUCAGUGUUGCUCAGUCUUGCUCUUUGUGGCGACUACUGAAUGCUUGAAAAAUUCUCUCCUAUACUCCCACUCUGCGCUGUAGAAGAGAAAGAGAGGAGAGUGGAAGAAAAAAGAGAGGGAGAGGAGAAAGAAAGAAAGGAGAGAGAAACAUGGGCAUGGAUGAUACAUAAGAUAAUUCCAGAAGAUUUCAGCAUAGCAGAUAAAAUACAGCAAAUCCUAACCAGCACAGGUUUGAGUGACAAACGGGCCGGUUCCAUGGGCACAGAUGACUUCAUCAGGUAAUUACAUUUUUGUUUUCGUAAGUGUUUACAUGUCUUUACUGUGACACCUUCAGAUUAGAGAUUUUAAAGGCUUUUAAGCGGUAUAAGGUGCUUCCUGGGAGAGUUAUUGCAUAGCACUUCCAUGGCAUGGAAUAGUAUUUGGUGUAGAAGAUGAAGGCUAGUUAGCUGCAGCAGAAUGAACAUUUCUUUAAGAACAGUAGUAAAGAACAGUCCAAGCCAGAAUAUUGCCUCUGUGUUAAUGUGGUGUGCAUGUUCCUCCCUUCCUGCUCCCUCCCCAACUCUCCUUCACAGUCUUAGUAUUAAUAGCGUAUCCCUCCAAAAUAGUCCGUAAGGUAGAAAAAUCAUAAUACAUGUAGCUGGAUCUGAUUUUUAAAAUUUG